rnacentral:rRNA from 2 species
UAAACGACUCUCGGCAACGGAUAUCUCGGCUCACGCAUCGAUGAAGAACGUAGCAAAAUGCGAUACUUGGUGUGAAUUGCAGAAUCCCGUGAACCAUCGAGUUUUUGAACGCAAGUUGCGCCCGAAGCCAUCUGGCYGAGGGCACGUCUGCCUGGGCGUCACGC